rnacentral:rRNA from 1 species
UGGCGGACGGGUGAGUAACGCGUGGGCAACCUGGCCAGUACAGGGGGAUAACACUUAGAAAUAGGUGCUAAUACCGCAUAACGGGAGAAGCCGCAUGGCUUUUCCUGAAAACUCCGGUGGUACAGGAUGGGCCCGCGUCUGAUUAGCCAGUUGGCAGGGUAACGGCCUACCAAAGCGACGAUCAGUAGCCGGCCUGAGAGGGCGGACGGCCACACUGGGACUGAGACACGGCCCAGACUCCUACGGAAGGCAGCAG